rnacentral:rRNA from 1 species
UACGUAGGGCGCAAGCGUUAUCCGGAAUUAUUGGGCGUAAAGAGCUCGUAGGCGGUUUGUCGCGUCUGCCGUGAAAGUCCGGGGCUCAACUCCGGAUCUGCGGUGGGUACGGGCAGACUAGAGUGAUGUAGGGGAGACUGGAAUUCCUGGUGUAGCGGUGAAAUGCGCAGAUAUCAGGAGGAACACCGGUGGCGAAGGCGGGUCUCUGGGCCGAUACUGACGCUGGGGAGCGAAAGCGUGGGGAGCAAACAGG